AAAUAGCCCAGAUAAAAGCGGCAUCCUUUUUAUCCUGAAAUUGGUUCUGGGAAGUGCACUAAUUCUUGGAUAAAAAGAUAGAGCGGAUAGCUGGAAAUAGC
rnacentral:sRNA from 1 species